rnacentral:rRNA from 1 species
GACGUAGGGGGCCAGCGUUGUUCGGAAUUACUGGGUGUAAAGGGUUCGUAGGCGGUGCGGCAAGUUGGGAGUGAAAUCUCUGGGCUUAACCCAGAGGCUGCUUCCAAAACUGCUGUGCUUGAGUGUGGGAGAGGCGCGUGGAAUUGCAGGUGUAGCGGUGAAAUGCGCAGAGAUCGGGAGGAACACCCGUAGCGAAGGCGGCACUCUGGGCCGGUACUGACGCUGAGGAGCGAAAGCGUGGGGAGCAAACAGG